rnacentral:rRNA from 1 species
GGUGUAGGCGGUCGGGCAAGUCGGAUGUGAAAUCCCUCGGCUCAACUGAGGAAGUGCAUUCGAAACUGCUCGACUUGAGUAUGGGAGAGGAAGGUGGAAUUCUCGGUGUAGCGGUGACAUGCGUAGAUAUCGAGAGGAACACCGGUGGCGAAGGCGGCCUUCUGGCCCAAUACUGACGCUGAGACCCGAAAGCGUGGGGAGCAAACA